UGGGGAAUAUUGGGCAAUGGACGCAAGUCUGACCCAGCGACGCCGCGUGCGGGAUGAAGGCCUUCGGGUUGUAAACCGCUUUCAGCAGGGAAGAAGCGAAAGUGACGGUACCUGCAAAAGAAGCACCGGCUAACUAUGUGCCAGCAGCCGCGGUAAUACAUAGGGACCGAGCGUUGUCCGGAAUCAUUGGGCGUAAAGAGCGUGUAGGCGGCUUGGUAGGUCUCGUGUGAAAUCCCGCGGCUCAACCGCGGACCCGCACGGGAAACCCCCAAGCUCGAGUCCGGAAGAGGAGAGUGGAAUUCCUGGUGUAGCGGUGGAAUGCGCAGAUAUCAGGAGGAACACCAAUGGCGAAGGCAGGUCUCUGGGCCAUUACUGACACUGAGGAGCGAAAGCGUGGGGAGCGAACAGG
rnacentral:rRNA from 1 species